CGCUGGGUUGGUCUAGUGGUAUGACGUCCGCCUCACAUCGAUAGCUCGCUAUUGAUGCUUAGAUCGCGGCAGGUCGCGAGUUCGAUCCUCGCACUCAGUAU